rnacentral:rRNA from 1 species
UACGUAGGGGGCAAGCGUUGUCCGGAUUUAUUGGGCGUAAAGAGCGUGUAGGCGGCUUGAUAGGUCUGCUGUGAAAACUCGAGGCUCAACCUCGAGAUGUCGGCGGAAACCGUCUGGCUAGAGUCCGGAAGAGGAGAGUGGAAUUCCUGGUGUAGCGGUGAAAUGCGCAGAUAUCAGGAGGAACACCGGUGGCGAAGGCGGGUCUCUGGGCAGUAACUGACGCUGAGGAGCGAAAGCGUGGGGAGCGAACAGG